ACCAUUGAAUGAUGAAGAAUUUGUUGAGUACAUCCUUACUGGUCUUGAUUAUGAUUUUAACCCAUUAGUUUCUACUCUUGUUACAAGGAUAGAACCAAUAUUGGUAGCAGAGUUGUAUGCACAACUAUUGGCUUUCGAAA